GUUGAAUAUGUAAACACUCCGUAGAUAGUAGGUGCGUAUAGCGUAACGGGAAACCAACCUGCCGAGGAUUCCGAUAUAUGAUUAUAUAUGGUCUCUUCGCGCUGCGGAGAGGCUUUAGUUUUUAAUAU
rfam:Clostridium acidisoli DSM 12555 genome assembly, contig: EJ29DRAFT_scaffold00036.36